rnacentral:rRNA from 1 species
CCUACGGGUGGCAGCAGUGAGGAAUAUUGGUCAAUGGGCGGAAGCCUGAACCAGCCAAGUAGCGUGCAGGAUGACGGCCCUACGGGUUGUAAACUGCUUUUAUACGGGAAUAACGCGCCUUACGUGUAGGGCUUUGCAUGUACCGUAUGAAUAAGGACCGGCUAAUUCCGUGCCAGCAGCCGCGGUAAUACGGAGGGUCCGGGCGUUUUCCGGAUUUAUUGGGUUUAAGGGGAGCGUAGGCCGCAUGUCAAGCGUGCUGUGAAAUGGCCGGGCUCAACCCGGGCCUUGCAGCGCGAACUGGCGUGCUUGAGUCCGGGGAAAGCAGGCGGAAGUCGUGGUGUAGCGGUGAAAUGCGUAGAUAUGACGAAGAACGCCGAUUGCGAAGGCAGCUUGCUGCAGCGGAACUGACGCUGAGGCGCGAAAGCGCGGGUAUCGAACAGGAUUAGAUACCCUUGUAGUC